rnacentral:lncRNA from 1 species
AGAAAGGACAUGAUUGCUUGGAUGAAAACUUGACUAACAAAUCAUAAAGCAAGAAUCAAAUCGGUUCAAAGUUGAUACACCAAAUAUUGUCAAUGAUAGAUGUUCAGCAAAAGCUAGGAUGGAAACCAAUACAGUGGUGAUCAAAUCAAUAUUGAUCUAGAAUCAUGUACUAAUGACAACUUACUUUAGUCUACAUAUUAAUUUGAUAGCUGGGAUGUCAAGAACUCUUUCUGAUAUUUUCUAGUUCUCCUACAGAACCAAAUUUAGUAUUAAAACUAAAAUUUAUGGUAUAGGGAUUAUCUAUCUAGAAUCCUCUACUGGGGUUCACUAAGGUCCACCGACAAACCUUUGGAUCCCUUUGCCCAU